CACUAGGCGAUUUCGUCCUUGUGUGAACUUCAUAGAGCGUACUUACACAAAUGUAGAUGUAUAGCCAUUUGUACACCCGUCUAUAGACACAUCUACUACGCACCUAAGCUGUAUGGUACUGUUCUUAUGAGACCACCAUUGUAUAUGUGCUCCUUCAUUGACUGAAAGGUCAUUAUGCAGCCCAUGACUGUAUUAGUAUGAUUUGACCUAAGUAGAUGUCCAGGCUGUAGUUUUGGGACUUUUGAAGCCUUAGUGCAGCAGGUUGUUUGAGUGUCAGAAAUGGGAUCUUGGUAGUGAGAACGUUGGGUACGUUGAUGCUGUAUAAGGCUGUUAUAACAAUUCCUGUGAAAGUUAAUUCUCAACAUUGCACGUUCAUUCAUUUAACAAGUAUUUAUUGAUUGCCUGCUCUAUGCCAGGAAUGAUUUAAUUGCCUGGUAUACACCACUGAAAAAAGCAAAAAAAGAUGCUUGUCCUGAGGAGCUGACAUUCUACCAAAGAGAUAGAGGCAAUAAACAGUGUGUAAUGAGACGGUUAACCGUGGUUGGAAUGUCGGUGUUUUGCAUCUCCUCAGGCACCACUUAGGACUGCUGGUUAGGAUGUAUUCUGAUAAUUCAGGGGGCAGCUUGCUCCUGACCGUGGAUACCAUCACAUUAUGGUUACACUUAAGAAACACACUUGCUGUUUUCAGGCAAACUUUGACCUUGUUAAUUAUUCUCAACCUGACAAAGUCUGCCUCCUCCCACUUUUUGUUUUAAUUGUGGUAAAUAUACAUAAAAUGUACCAUUUUAACCAUUUCUAAGUGUACAGUUCUGUGGCAUUAAGUACAUUUACAUGGUUGUGCACUGGCAGAGUCUGUUAAUUGGUGAUUUUUGUGAUAGGAUCAGGUCCAGGCAAUGAAAGGAGGCAAACAUGAAUACCAUCAGUCUGUUGUGGAGAGACCACAUUUAGGGCAGAAGCUCUAAUUCUGGGUCCACACUGUGGCAUGGCGAUGAUAAAUCUACUUAAUUUCUUCUUUUUUG
rnacentral:lncRNA from 1 species